GUCACACUAUCAUUAACUGAAUCCAUAGGUUAAUGAGGCGAACCGGGGGAACUGAAACAUCUAAGUACCCCGAGGAAAAGAAAUCAACCGAGAUUCCCCCAGUAGCGGCGAGCGAACGGGGAGGAGCCCAGAGCCUGAAUCAGCAUGUGUGUUAGUGGAAGCGUCUGGAAAGGCGCGCGAUACAGGGUGACAGCCCCGUACACAAAAGCGCAUGUGCUGUGAGCUCGAUGAGUAGGGCGGGACACGUGGUAUCCUGUCUGAAUAUGGGGGGACCAUCCUCCAAGGCUAAAUACUCCUGACUGACCGAUAGUGAACCAGUACCGUGAGGGAAAGGCGAAAAGA
rnacentral:rRNA from 1 species